UGAUGUGAACAAGUCACAGUGUAAGUAACGUCAAGAAUUUUAUGGUGAAAGGAAAAAAAAUAAAGGUGUGAUGGUAGGAGGAGUAGAUGGUUUGAAUGCGUAGAGGGUAAGUAUGUGUAAUUAUGUUCCUAAAUUUUUAAUUAUUUGGUAAAAAUAUUUAUUUUAGAAUUUUUUUUGUAUUUCUUUGUAGUGAUUAAUUUGGAUUAAUUGUAUAUUUUUAUUUUUUAGUAUGGUUCCAUUUCUGUCUUAGAAUUUGGAACUUCAAAGAAGGGUAUAGCUGAUUUCAAUGAUUUAGAAAGUGAGUAUUGUAGUUAAAUUAUAAGAUGGCUACCAUUGUCUUCUCCAUUAUUGUAGUUGAAUAAUAUUUCUUUUUAUUUUAUUUUAUUUUUAUUUAAGCCUUCUUUAUUAUAUAUUGGGUGUUUAUAAAUUAUGUGUUUUGAU
rnacentral:lncRNA from 1 species